GAUGAACGCUGGCGGCGUGCUUAACACAUGCAAGUCGAACGAUGAAGCCCAGCUUGCUGGGUGGAUUAGUGGCGAACGGGUGAGUAACACGUGAGUAACCUGCCCUUGACUCUGGGAUAAGCCCGGGAAACUGGGUCUAAUACCGGAUAGGAGCGCCUGUCGCAUGACGGGUGUUGGAAAGAUUUUUCGGUCAUGGAUGGACUCGCGGCCUAUCAGCUUGUUGGUGAGGUAAUGGCUCACCAAGGCGACGACGGGUAGCCGGCCUGAGAGGGUGACCGGCCACACUGGGACUGAGACACGGCCCAGACUCCUACGGGAGGCAGCAGUGGGGAAUAUUGCACAAUGGGCGGAAGCCUGAUGCAGCGACGCCGCGUGAGGGAUGACG
rnacentral:rRNA from 1 species